rnacentral:rRNA from 1 species
UACGUAGGGUGCGAGCGUUGUCCGGAAUUAUUGGGCGUAAAGAGCUCGUAGGCGGUCUGUCGCGUCGGUCGUGAAAACUUGGGGCUUAACCCUGAGCUUGCGGUCGAUACGGGCAUGACUGGAGUUCGGUAGGGGAGACUGGAAUUCCUGGUGUAGCGGUGAAAUGCGCAGAUAUCAGGAGGAACACCGGUGGCGAAGGCGGCGUUCUGGACUGCAACUGACACUGAGAGACGAAAGCCAGGGGAGCAAACGGG